rnacentral:rRNA from 1 species
GACGAACGCUGGCGGCGUGCUUAACACAUGCAAGUCGAACGGAAAGGCCCUGCUUGCCGGGUACUCGAGUGGCGAACGGGUGAGUAACACGUGGGUGAUCUGCCCUGCACUUCGGGAUAAGCCUGGGAAACUGGGUCUAAUACCGGAUAGGAGCCAUUUUUAGUGUGAUGGUUGGAAAGUUUUUUCGGUGUAGGAUGAGCUCGCGGCCUAUCAGCUUGUUGGUGGGGUAAUGGCCUACCAAGGCGGCGACGGGUAGCCGGCCUGAGAGGGUGGACGGCCACAUUGGGACUGAGAUACGGCCCAGACUCCUACGGGAGGCAGCAGUGGGGAAUAUUGCACAAUGGGCGCAAGCCUGAUGCAGCGACGCCGCGUGGGGGAUGACGGCCUUCGGGUUGUAAACUCCUUUCGUUAGGGACGAAGCUUUUUGUGACGGUACCUAGAUAAGAAGCACCGGCUAACUACGUG